rnacentral:rRNA from 1 species
AGUGAACGCUGGCGGUAGGCCUAACACAUGCAAGUCGAACGGCAGCACAGUAAGAGCUUGCUCUUACCGGUGGCGAGUGGCGGACGGGUGAGGAAUACAUCGGAAUCUACUUUUUCGUGGGGGAUAACGUAGGGAAACUUACGCUAAUACCGCAUACGACCUACGGGUGAAAGCAGGGGAUCUUCGGACCUUGUGCGAUUGAAUGAGCCGCUGUCGGAUUAGCUAGUUGGCGGGGUAAAUGCCCACCAAGGCGAGGAUCCGUAGCUGGUCUGAGAGGAUGAUCGGCCACACUGGAACUGAGACACGGUCCAGACUCCUACGGGAGGCAGCAGUGGGGAAUAUUGGACAAUGGGCGCAAGCCUGAUCCAGCCAUACCGCGUGGGUGAAGAAGGCCUUCGGGUUGUAAAGCCCUUUUGUUGGGAAAGAAAAGCAGCAGGUUAAGACCCCGCUGUUCUGACGGUACCCAAAGAAUAAGCACCGGCUAACUUCGUG